GGGGAAUUGCGUGGCUGGAGCUGAGCUCAGGUCUGCUUCCUUGCUUGCGCCCUGUGUGACCGAGGAGCUGUGGAGCUCGUUUCAGGCCAUGGAGAGAUCUGAUUUAGUAAUCGUGGUUUUGUCACAGGGGCUGGGACUGGCUGCGUCUCCUCAGUGCCUUUCACAGCUUUUAAAAUAAGGCAAAGUAUUGAUAAGGCAGCUAUAAAAACAGGAUUCCCCAAGUGAGGCAGGAAGCUCGGGCUCCUUGUUAUCUGCAGUUUUAGAAGCUGUUUCUGAGAGCGGAGCACAAAGUGAGUUGGCCUCAGAGAAAAUAACUUUUUUUUUCUUUCUUACGCUGUUACAUUGUCUUUCAAAUACACUUUCUCUUCCCAUAAGAUGGGAUCAAAGGGACAUGGUGAGCUAAGUGCCCGCGAUGGUCGAGUUUCGGUAGGUUGAAAGUUUUCUUUCCUCAUUAUUUUAGUGGAAGUCCUCAAAGGAAUCUCGGGGAAAGCAAGAGGACACCUAUGUCAACCCUCAAAGCUUGACAGAAGCAAACACGACAGAGCAUGCAUUGAUUUUUUAGAGAAACAAAGAAGAAACCAAGCUGUUCACAGAAAAUCUCCCUCUUUGCACUCAAGAAAUUGCCAAAAACUGGAAGUUGAGCUCUCAGGAACUCCAGCCCUGAUAAACCAAAGGGAAGACUGGUUCCUUCCUCUCCCAGUUCCACUGUUAGUGUACCACGAGGACCUCCAAUCCUCCUGACGUGCCCCAGCAUCCCCUCUGCCCUGUCAAGGUGACAGCAUCAUUACUCCCAACAAAUUCACUUCCCGUAAGGCAUUCUAAGGAUACACAGUUCAUUCAAAUGUACCAGAUUUAAAUGUGUCUUAAUUUAUGACUGUGUUCUAAUCACCAGAAGAU
rnacentral:lncRNA from 1 species